GGGGGCGACUGGCUUCGACCGGACAGGUAGAUGGUCAGGUGGCAUGCCCAGGAUAACGGUUGGCCUGGUAAAAAAGCCGUUACAAUUUUAACUGGCACUAACCAGUAUAAACUGGCUGCAUAAUUGCGGCCCGUCCUGUGAGAUUUCCUCCUGCGGGUUUCACGAGGGCGCCGAAAGCGGGAUAGUCGACCUGAGUGUUCGCGGCAGGGCGGCGAAACCAAGCGAACUAGCGAGCGCAGCAGCCUGUCGUUUGGCGGUUGCGGGGGCGAAUCUUAAAUGAACGACUAUGCAUGUAGAUGCCUGGCUUGAAAUGUCACGGGACGGGGGUUCGAAUCCCCCCGCCUCCAUUG
rnacentral:tmRNA from 1 species